UACGGGGGGUGCAAGCGUUGUUCGGAAUCAUUGGGCGUUAAGAGCGUGUAGGCGGCCGCGUAUGACAGAUAUGAAAGUCCUGGGCUCAACCUGGGAAGUGCAUUUGAAACUGCGUGGCUAGAGUAAGGGAGGGGAAAGUGGAAUUCCUGGUGUAGAGGUGAAAUUCGCAGAUAUCAGGAGGAACACCUGUGGCGAAGGCGGCUUUCUGGCCCUAUACUGACGCUGAGACGCGAAAGCGUGGGUAGCAAAC
rnacentral:rRNA from 2 species